ensembl:lncRNA
CAGCAAAGCACCAGACUCAGGCACACGGCAGGGUGGCCCUGAGCAAGAGCCAGAGAGCACCUUGAAGGGCUUCUGCCAGGAAGGGAUGCAGAAUGGGUGGAACUGGAGCAUCUGAGGACAACACAGACGCCAGCAAAUGCAGCGCUGAGUGCACUGUGCCACACGUCCUCUUCAGGGCUGCUUUUCUGAGAGGUUCAGGCAAAGCUCUUGAAGGAUCGCAGGUCCUGAGCGCAACACCACCGCUGCAGCUCCGGUGAAGGAGAGCAACUUGUCAUCCUCGGUUCUCCCAGCCCGCUGCAGUGAGAAGACCAUGGCCGCAGAAGAGGCGUGGAUAUGCUCCAUCUGCCGCGAGCGCGAGGGGACAUCGCGUACGCGAUUCCUUGCAAGCACGUGUUCUGCCUCGGCUGCAUCCAGCGCUGGGCAAGGCUGAGAGACAGCUGCCCGCUAUGCAGAACGGCCAUGGAGACCAUCCGGGUCUCUGUGCGGGGAGACAACGAGUACGUGGAGUGCAUCGUCUCCCCGCCCGCGGUGCCCGUGCCCGUCGGCUUCGGCCCCACCACCGGCCCCAGCGGCACUGCGGCAUCUGCUCCACCCUCUGCGCCGCCGUCCCCUGAGCCGAUGGCCGCAGAGCAGGAGAGAGUGGGCGGCCUCCUGCCAGAGGUCUGGGCAGCGCUUUUCCGGGAGAGGCGUGACAUCCUUGACCCGGUGCUGCCCUGGCUGGAGCAGGAGCUACGCCGCAACGGGGAGCUACGCUGGUGGAAAAUCAGCUGGCUGAAGAGCAUGGUCCUGGCGUUCCUGUGCCAGGUGGGGCCGGACAGGGCCGUCCUAGCGCAGUGCGCAGAGCACGCCCUGGGGCCCAUCACCGUGCCGAUCAUCGACGCUCUCGUUGCCACCAUCGAGAGCCGGUGCAGCCAGGAGGCCCGGAGGCUGCUGGGCCUCGAAGACGCCAGCGGCUCCCAGGAGCAGGAGGGCGGCCCCGCGGCCCCGUCCGGUCCCGCCGCCUCCCCGCAGGGGACCGUCGCCCCCAGCGCCACACCAUCCGGCAGCUCCGCGGGUCCCGACGUGGAGGAGCUCCCCGGCACGUCCAGCGGGGCCCUCGGAGGGGGUCCUGGAGAGCCGGGUCCCGACGCAGUCGGUCCCGCUGACCAGCGUCGCAGCCGCGGCUCCUCCGCUCGCAGCCGGGGAAGGAAGCGCUCGGCUGCGGGGCCCCCACGCCCCACCAAGAGGAGGGCCGGCAGUGCCCAGCGCACUCCCCCGCCCUGCAAGAGGCGGCCACCCCGGCGCCUCUAGCGGGGCUUCCAAUAAAAGAUCAAAAC